rnacentral:misc_RNA from 1 species
GAUGAAGAACGUAGCGAGAUGCGAUAAGUAGUGUGAAUUGCAGAAUUCAGUGAAUCAUCGAAUCUUUGAACGCACAUUGCGCCCUUUGGUAUUCCUUAGGGCAUGCCUGUUCGAGCGUCAUUUAAACCUUCAAGCUAAGCUUGGUGUUGGGUGACUGUCCGCUUCACGGCGGACUCGCCUCAAAAUUAUUGGCGGCCGGUACAUUGGCUUCGAGCGCAGCAGAAACGCGAACUCGGGCCCGUCGUAUUGGCUCCCAGAAGCUAUCUUCACAAUUUUGACCUCGGAUCAGGUAGGGAUACCCGCUGAACUUAAGCAUAUCAAUAAGCGGAGGA